GAAAAUCAGAAAAAUUUGCAGCCUGAGGAGCGUGAAAGGCAGGAAGAAAAUAAGAAAAAGUUGCAGAAGGGGGUUCAAAGGCGGAGAGGAACUAAGAAAAAGUUGCAGAAGGGGCUUCAAAGGCAGAGAGAAAAUCAGAAAAAGUUGCAGCAGGAGCGUCAAAGGCAGGAAGG